rnacentral:rRNA from 1 species
UAACACGUGGGCAACCUGCCUCAUAGAGGGGAAUAGCCUUUCGAAAGGAAGAUUAAUACCGCAUAAGAUUGUAGCUUCGCAUGAAGUAGCAAUUAAAGGAGCAAUCCGCUAUGAGAUGGGCCCGCGGCGCAUUAGCUAGUUGGUGAGGUAACGGCUCACCAAGGCGACGAUGCGUAGCCGACCUGAGAGGGUGAUCGGCCACAUUGGGACUGAGACACGGCCCAGACUCCUACGGGAGGCAGCAUG